UGCCGCACCAAAUCACAUUGUCCUUUGCUUCAUCCAGAACAAGUGAGCCCAUCGCGGCUGCGACAUUGGAGCACGGGUCGUCAGCAAGUUUGUAGAAAUUUCGUUUCACUUCGCGACAGCUACAGAUUGAAAAAUAACUGUGUUCAGGUUCUCACUGAAUAUAUAAAUAGAAAGAUUCUAUUUAGAAAGGUUCUCACUGAAUAUAUGAAAUAAAUAGAAAGAUCAUUCUUCACAAAUAAAACGACAAAUGUUUGCGAAAAUUUAACAUAGGUUUACACAAGUACUUCAAUCAGUUGGAUCAAAAUGGUACAAAAGACCUCACCGAUUUCCUGUGUAC
rnacentral:lncRNA from 1 species